ACUCAAAUGAAUAGACGGGGGCUCACACAAGCGGUGGAGUAUGUGGCUUAAUUCGAGGCUACGCGCAAAACCUUAUCCCGGGCUUGACAUGCACGGAUUAGCCGGCGGAAACGUCGGCGACGCCGCAAGGUGGAACGUGCACAGGUGCUGCAUGGCUGUCGUCAGCUCGUGUCGUGAGAUGUUGGGUUAAGUCCCCUAACGAGCGCAACCCCUGCCCCUAGUUGCCAGCACGUCAUGGUGGGAACUCUAGGGGGACCGCCGGCGUCAAGCCGGAGGAAGGCGGGGAUGACGUCAAGUCCUCAUGGCCCUUAUGCCCGGGGCUGCACACGUACUACAAUGGGUCGGACAGAGCGACGCUAAGCCGCAAGGCCACGCCAAUCGCAAAAACCGCCCCUCAGUUCGGAUUGUGGGCUGCAACCCGCCCACAUGAAGCUGGAAUCGCUAGUAAUCGCGGAUCAGCAUGCCGCGGUGAAUGGGUUCCUGAGCCUUGUACACACCGCCCGU
rnacentral:rRNA from 1 species